GGGGAGCGCAUGGACACCCGUGGCUGAUUCAUGUCGCUGUUUGGCAAAGACCGCCACAAUAUGGUAAAAUAGUUAGCCUCCAGUUAAAUGAAUUUUUAAAAAUUACAUGCCAUAAAAUCAUCCCUUGUAAGUAUAAUUCAAUGAAGUUUUCAAAAAACCUGUAGUCGUAAAACUGCCACCACAUUCAAGAUACGCAACAGUAUCUUCCCCUUCCCACCAAAGGUAUUACCCUCCUCCCACUUCCAGUCUCUAGGGACAACUAAACUGUCCCCCUCCUUACAGUGCUGCCUUCUCUAGGAUGUAUGGUCAAUGUGAAACCGCGUGGUGUGCCGCAUGCUAGUGUGGGCGGGGUGCUUCUGGCUUCCUCACUUAGCAGAAAGCUUUUGCAGUUAAUUCUUUUCCACGUGUCAGUAGUUCAAUAGUAUUGUUGAAAACUUUAUUCAGUUUUAAAUUUGAGUUUUCUGGUACACAGUAAAAAAUGAAGCAACAGAGGGUUAAUGUAUUGACUCAAUAGUAGAACUUAGUAUUCAUACCAUCAAAGUUUUCUACGAAAAAUCAGUUAAUUUUAAUAAUACUUGAGUUUUUGCAUCAAAUUCAUGGAUGUAAGUAACGCUUUCCCAAGCUUAUCUUGUAGAAGAUAAAUCAUAUAGUAUUUUAAGUGUUACUGUAAAUUCAGUUAAAUGAAUCCUUAAAAAUAAAAUUACUUGUUUUGUGGUGACAAGAAAAAUGUAAAUUCUGAUGGAGUAUAGUAUCAUAGUGAAGAUAAUACAUGUCAAAUUAAAAAAUAUAUGCAGGAGGAAGAAAUGUGCUUAAACUUGGUUGUACGUUUUUGUGUCGAAAAGUGGUAUAUUCUAGCAAUCAUUAUAGAGGCUAUAAUGUUCAUAAUUACCAAAUACGUUUACAUGUGAGGAAUUCGUUACAGCAGUCACACUAUGUGCUAUUUGUUAAAUGCAGGAAAGCAGGUGGCGUGCAGAACUUGGCUUUCCUUUUUGCUGCCAUCAUCGGCCAGAAUUUUAAACUGUCUGAGCCUUUGAAUGAACGCUUUGUAAACAGCCUCAGUGCCUGACAAUUAUUGUUCUUUUCUGAAUGAGCCUUUUGUAUUUUCUUUUCAUUUUGUUUGAAAUCACUUGAAAAUAUUUAGUCAAAGUAUUUAAUCAGCAAAGCAUAGAAAAACUUCAUUUUAGUGGAUGGCAAGUAUUGUAAACCAAGCUUAAAGACAGGAGUACUUUGAAAUGUAUCACUAGAUAAGAAAGGGGGAAAGUGAAACAGUAAGAGGUCAAACUAUGUACUAGAUUCAAGAGUUUUCCUUUGGAAUGCUUGGAAUAUUUUAGCUUGGGAGACUUUGCUUCUGUCUUUAAUUGGGCACAUUGAUCAGUACUGAAACUGAACACAGUUGAAAAGGUCUGUCAUUUUGCAGCACCUACAUUGGACAAAACACUAAAAAGAAUCAUAGAGAUCCUUUUUAUGACAAUUUCUUGUAUUACAAAAUUUGUAUUGUGUUGUACCUUUUUUGAAGGUAAUUUCUCUGAGUAAUGAAAGGACCAAUGAGGGAUUUGGACUGAAAUACUUCGAUGCUCAACAUAAAAAGUAGAGUUGAGAUUUUCUCAGUGUAGCAAAAUGCUGGGGACAAAUAGAAUUGAAAAUAUUCUCUGUGUAGUGGAAUUUAUCCUGUGUCUUUAAGGUAGUUCGGCAAGUACAGAAUAUUUUUUAAGUUAAAACUUUUUAUGGUCUAUAGCAAAGAGUUAACUGAAGAUGCCCACAAUUUCAAAUUUAUUAAGCAUAAAAUGCACCACUGAGGAAAAUUACAGGAAAUUUUAGAUGCAAGAGAGAUAUUAUUUACAUUAAUACCAGCAACUUAGUGUAAGAGACAAAUAUGGCUAAGUAUACAACAAAUGUGUGAAAAUAUAAUGAAAAAUCAUUGUGUUUAGGUUAUUUUAUUUCUGGUAAUAUAUAGAUGCCAUCUCACAGAAAUAAUCUUACGUUUCAAAAUAAUUUUGGGAAAAUGAAAGGCUAUAGGUUCACUGAUAUUGUAAAACCAGUCAAUAAUAAAAAAUAGAUACUAUAAUAAUUAUAUAAUUAUAUUCUUUGAUACCUAUUUUAACUUUCAAAGAUGUCCCCAAGUCAUCAUAUGUUAUGCCCACCUCAUAACAAAAUCUUCAGAGCUUGCCGGGGUCCAGCCCUGGGGGAUCCAGGGUGAUUCGAAAUGGAGACGGAGUAGGCGAGGAAAAAACUUAUUUAUUUAGAAAUAUAAGAUUAGGAAAUAAUAGUAUAGUAGGAAAAU
rnacentral:lncRNA from 1 species